rnacentral:ncRNA from 1 species
GUCUUUGUGGCAGGGUGGAAGUCCCUACCGAUGGUAUAGUCCAUGACUCGCACAGCAGAAGGGUGCGACUGAGCCGGUGAAAUUCCGGCGCCGACGGUAUAGUCCGGAUGAGAAAAGAC